CUGGAAACAGCUGACAGCUCCUGGCUUUAGAAUCCUAACAGUCUGCUAAUGUAAAGAUUCCCAGUUUUCCAUCGAGCCCAGCACAGAGGAGGGGAUGGGUGUUUUCCUGCCUGAGUGAGGAAUGCAGACCCCUGUGCCCCCCAGGACAAUGUUUCCCUUGUUCCCCUUCCCAAGGGGGUGGCUGGAAGAUGCUCCGGCCCCAAGGAGAUCAAAGAGCUGCCAGGACAGGCUGGUCAAGCAUUUCCCUUUCAUCUGAAUAUAUUGUUUGUGAUUCUGAGCCAUUCCCAAAGGUGAAGAAGGCUUCUAAUCAUUGCAGGAAGAGCCCUUGGAGAUGACAGCAAGAGAAAAAAAGAAAAUUAAGGAUUGCUUACAAGCACCAGGGAGCAGCAGGUUACAUAUUUGGAGCAAACUGCAUUUGUUGAUUUUACUUAAACAGGUUUCUAACAAAGAGAAAUUAGAAAUUCAGGCAGCAUAAAGGAAACAAUCACUUAACACUGGUACCUUAUAAUGGAACAGGGGCUGCUUUAUUGCCAGGAUAUCUAUUAUAUUGUAAGGUGUGCAUUUUGUAAUGUUUUGCAUUUCUAAGAAUUAACACUGCACUACAAUAAAAAGAACUUAAAUUAUUUUCA
rnacentral:lncRNA from 1 species